UAAUAAUAAUAAUAAUAAUAAUAAUAAUAAUAGUAGUAAUAAUAGUAGUAAUAAUAAUAAUAAUAAUAAUAAUAAUAAUAAUAAUAAUAAUAAUAAUAAUAAUAAUAAUACUUGAUUUUUAUAGCGCCAUUGCCUAAAGCUCAAUGGCGUUUAACAUUAUCGAAAGAUAGAAAUUAUGAUAAUUUACAAUUUGAAAAUUAAUCGUAACAAAGUUAAAAGAGUUAAGAUGUUAAAAAGAAAAUUAUUCAUAACAUAAUUUAAGUGGGUUUUGAUAUUGUUCUUAAAAAUGGCCAAUGAGCUGCUUUGGCAAAUAGUGUCUGGCAAAGCAUUCCAGAGUCUGAGUGCAGCAUAUGAAAAAAGAUCUAUGUCCAUAUUUAGUUUAGCUGAAGGUUGUUUUAAUAGAUUUUUUGAGGCAGACCUUAGGCUUCUUGUGGGUUAAUUGUCCAUUGGCCACCCCUAAAUAUUACUGUAUGUCUAUAAUUUUAUUAAAAUUUUGGGGGGUGAUCACCCUUGUGUCCCCAUUCUGGGCCAAUAACAUAAUCAUAUUAUAAAAAAUGGAUUACAGAGUAUGGAAUAUUUAAAACCCAAAUUAAUGGGAUAAGCACUAUUUUCUUCCUCCAUCUUGUUUGUCAUGAUAUCAGUACCGGUAGUUGUUUUAUCGAAAGCAGAAUAUAAGCAAAUGAAGUGCAAAAUGACAUGUCAGAAUUCGGGGAUUUAGCUGUGAUUUACCUGGUAGAGGAAUUUGGGGAGGUGAAGCAGACACAUUAUGCAAAAAGUAUAAUCUAUGUUUUGGGGUUGAUGUGCCUGAAGUUUGAAAAUAUGAUAUGUAAACAUUUCUCUGAUACACUAUACAGCUAAAUAUAAGAUGUGGAAUUAUAUUUUAUUAAAUUAAAGGAUUCAAAAGAAAAAAAAUAAAGAAUGAAAGUAUGCAACACAGAAUUUAUUUUUGUCUCUAAAACCUCAAGUUUGUUUGAAUUUGAAUACAUGAGGGGGAAGGAGGAAGAAGCUGUUUUGAGCUGUCGAGAAAAGUUUGGCAAACUGUGCCACUGGAACUAGUCGGGACCGUGUUUGUCAUCCAUUCUAGUAUAAUAUAAUCGCACUAAUGGUCUAUCAUUCUGAUCGGUUGACCUGUUAGUAGGCAAUAAUUUAUAAAAGUGCCAGACUUGUAAGCAAAAAAAAAAGUUAAAUUACCAGACUAUUAUUUUGGCUAUACAACUUGACCUGCUAACAGACAUAGAAAAAAUUUGGGGGAGGAAUAAUAGAAGGGAUAGAAAACUAAAGGGGGGUGACUAUGGCAUGCGUUAUCAUACUUUGAAUAACAGCUUGUUGAGGUAGAAAAUACCUAUACUUGUCACGUGGCGAUGUCGGCAAUUUCGGCACUACUUUUUCGUUUCAUGUUUUAGGUUUCAUGUAUAUAUCCUACAGCCCUUGCAUACUUCAAUACAAGCGAUCUCAUUGGACUAAAGCCCUUGCAAUUAUUACAAGCGAUUUCAUUGGACUAAAGACACAAAGACGUCCAUAUAUGCUAGCUUUCCGAAGGGCAAACGUGGGGUUUCGUUCUCGCUGAGAUUUCUACCAGCAAAAAGAACCAGAAGUCCCACAACCGUUUAUGUUUAACAGAAUGCAAGUGUUUACAGAUUGUGUUUUCUACGCUCUACCAGCCAAUUAUUCUCUCACAUCAAACCGAUCAAUCGAAGCGGCGCCAGAACUUCUGGCAGAAGGGCUGAUGCGAUGCACCGUAGAUUCGGUAUAACCACCGAGUCUUGCGACUAAAGAAUGGUAAGCUUAACUUUUUUGAUGCUUUUUUGAUAUUAAGUGCGUUUGAUUUUUCGUAAAUGUAUCACUUGCCAUUAUUUUCGUAAUGAAAUCCAUGGAUAAACGCGACAAAAUCGUCUUUAAAACAAACGGGAAUUCACCCGGUAUUUAAGUUUAGUAACUAAGGGAUAUCACAACUUUCCUUUCCUCCCACUGUGGGACGUUCCUCACAAAUGGAAAUGGAAUGAUAUCUGUAACGUUGUCGUAGGAGACUUUACAAGGCAAGAAAGAGAACUAAAGGUUUAGGUUAUUUCUGAGCUCCUAUUACUGUUUUAAUCUGUGUGCUCCUACACCCCGAACUGCGGGUCCUAUUACAAUAUGAUUGUCUCAGCUUAAUCACACAAUUAAUCACGCAAUCAAUUGGAGUAGUAUUACAAUUAACGUCACAAUAUUGUCGCUGCGAUUCUAGUUGCAUAUUUUUUAUCCUGCCCUCUAGCAUGAGCGAAUCACACUGACAGCAUUUUCCUGGAGUUUUUCCUUCAAAAACAUGGUUGCUUUAAACCCAAUUCAAUUUUUUUUUCACUUUCCUUUUUUUUGUUGUUGUUGUUUUCUUUGGCAGGGCGGCCAGCAUUUCUCUUCGUUCGGCCGACCCAGAUGAGCUAUUGCUAUCUUCGCUUUUUUCUUUACACUUUCUGGUCUUCUGCACCUGGACGGCACUGUUACUGGAUCUCUGUGACCAAUGCAAUUCUUUUCUACUAACAACCUUUUAUUUAUGAUUGUCUGUAGUGGCAAAUCAUCCUAUCCAUAGGAUGUUUCUUUAUUAAAAACAAAAAAAGUCUUGUUUUUCUUUGAUGUUUAUAACUCUCAUUCUUCCUACCAAUUGGAGUUGAAGGAGCUGUUUGCUACUCCAUAAAGGACUUGGGGAUAGGCCCUUUGGGUAUGGCCUUCUCUGGACGAGCAAGGUUGCUUCAAUCAAUUUCUGAUAUGGCUGCCGAUUCUGGAGAUAUUCCUUUUUUAAUGUUGUCCCUCUGCAGUGUAUUUAAUUUUUUAGCCCUGGCCACCAUGCUUGCUUAACAUGAGAGUUUAACUAGAUUUCUUGGGAACAAUACUCUUCUAAACCAGCCUUUUGAUUGCAAACUUGUUACAGAACAGAGCCUGAACUAAACAGAACUGUGAUGAGGCAUAACGCGACAAUCUUCCAUUGUCGUGAUUGUAGUACAUUACUGAUUUACCUGUGGCUUUCUGUCUGUGAUUUUGGCAACAACCUUUGUAGGUGUUAUUGAUGGAUGUUUUCUUUGUGUGCGGGUUUUACUGGCACACUGCAUAGGAUUUUUUUCCGGCCUUAUGCUUAAGCUAAAAACUUUGCUUAGCCUUUUGGGAAAAAUUUUCAUGGGGCUGCAGUUUUACAGGUCUUGCCGGACCCGGAGCUGAUGGAGGCUUUUUUGCUGAUUAGGAUAUUGACAGUUUUGUUUCCUGCAUGAAAUAAUAAUAAUAAUGUCUUUAUACUGUAAGUUAAUAAAAAAAACAUAUCAGCUUUA